UGACACUCUAGUCAUUGGAAAAGAUGAUAUAAGAAAAGUACUAGACGAUGUGGCAACCAUAAUUCAAGACAAGAUGAAGGCUGGAUUAGAUGAUCAAUAUGACAGAAUUAAACUAGAUAUGAUAAAGGGAAAACAAGAAGAUCUCUUAUCUCUUGAAUCAAAAACUGCCGAGGGAAUGAUACAGAUUCAAGAUAAAACUGAUGCUUCUGUGAAAAGAUUAAAUGACGAAAUGGACAAAGAAAUUGAUACAAUUCAUAAACAAGGAGAUAAAGAACGAACAGACCUGGCUGAAUUAGGAAAGACGUUACAAAAAGAACUGAACACAGCAAGUAAAGCCGAGAAAGAAGAACAGUAUAUUGAUUUUAAACAAAAACUUCAAGGCGACCUGAUUAAAUUUUACAGAAAAAGGUGUAGUUCAAUACCUCUCUCACCGCUUCUUGAAGAAAUAGAGACACCUCUAGCUGGGUUCUAUGUGAUGCCAGAUAUAGUCGCGGUGAAACAGAAGUCCCUAACUUGCCAUGAAGAGGAGAGAACACCGAUCAAGUCUUUGAAAAACAUGUUUUCAACAAGAAGUAGAGAUCAGCAAGAGAUUUAUCUAUCAGCUGAUGCAGGUUUUGGAAAAACUGCUUUCUCAAAAUAUCUUGCAAUUACGUGGUGUCAAGCUCAUUGUCACGAUGAAAACUACGCCUGUUUUAAAGAUGACGAUUUAAAAACGUUAUUUGACUUUAAGUUCUUAUUUUUGGUUUUAUUAAGAGACUGUUCCUCUGUUUGUAACAUUGACGAUAUGAUUGAACAGCAAAUAAUUAAGAAACUUCCUGCUUCUGCAGCAAUACAUGAGGUUUUACGUCGGGAAAAAUGCUUGAUUAUAUUAGACGGUCUUGAUGAAUGGACUCACCCUAAUAACAGCUGCAGCGAAGUAACAGAAAAUAUCCCACAUCGGUACGUACGUGAUAAUUGUGUUAUCCUUACGACAACUCGACCGUGGAAGCUUGGAGUUUCAAAUCUCAAAACAAGUCAAAUAAACAAAAAAAUAGAAUUGGCUCAAUUAAGUGAAGAAUCUACGCGGCAACUAGAAGAAAAUGCUAUAAGGAAAAUGACAGGUGUCCUUAACGAUACAGUACUGAAGCGUAAAACACAGGACUUCAAUAAAGUGAUAACUGACCGUCGCCUAGAACACAUGCAAGUGAUUCCACUCCUCCUCAUGUAUAUAGUUUGCCUAUGGUGUAACAACAUUCCAAUAGGAAAUUCAAUACAUGAAAUUUACACCAAUAUCAUUGAAUUUCUAUUAUCGAGAACGUCAAAGAAACACCCGGAAGUUCUAUCAUCUCGUGAAUCGUCUGCCAGUGAAAUUCCUGAAUACUUCCAAAGUCGUAAAUUUUGUAAAAAGUUUUACAAAUUAAUAAAAUCACUAACAGAACUAGCGAACCAAACAUUAUUUAACGAAAACAGAGAAAACACGCUGGUAUUUGAUAGAACGGUUGCUGAAAAAUAUCUCCAAGCAGACGACAUGAUAUUAAGUCUUCUCUCAGGAAUACUGUCAGAAAGUAGAAGUAAAACAUUAGUCAAAGAAAUUAUCAAAAUAUCGUUUUCCCACAAAACAGUGCAUGAAUACUUUGCCGCCAUAUUUAUAAGUUCUCAAAGUGACGCUCAGAAAUCUGUUGUAGAAAAAUGUAGAAAUGUUCAAGACAUUCUGGACAUGUCAAAAAUUUGUGAAUUUAUAAGUAAAUUGAAUUCUGACCUGGUGUGUGCAAUAUCAAAUGAUUUAAUGUCUGUGAUAAAUGAAGACGAUAAAACACGCGACUAUAGAACCCAGGCAGAUUACAGUGACUCAUUGUAUAACAUACAGAAAAUGUUCAUGUCGUGUUUACAAGAAAUGCCUGAAAGUGAAAAUAUUCAAUUAUGUUUACAAGAUUUCUUCAUUGACAAGAACACCAUGCACAGUGAGCAGUUACAACGAUUGUUAAAACAAAAUAAAACCAACAUAAAAUCACUUAAUAUAAGGACCAGUCGUACUUCCAGCAGUUUACGUAAAAUUAUAGAUUUAUUCUCUCUCACAGAUCUCAGUCAUUUACAGAAACUUUACUAUGGGGGUGACAUGGAGGAGGAGGCUGAUAUAAAUCGGAUACUGUUUCCCAGUUUACAGUCCGUAGCUUUGUGGUGUGGUACAUGGACAAAUGAUGAAGAAAAUCAGAGUGAAAACCUGGCGCGAUGUCAAAACUUACAAUAUUUAUAUAUUGGCGGCUUCACGUUUUCUCACAAAAUAUUGGAAACAAUUUUCAAUUUUAUCUCCGUUCAAAAAUCAAUGAAAGAAUUAACAUUGUGGAGGUUAGCCUGUAAAGAACAUGGCGGCCAUGAUUGUAAGAGGUGGGACUUAGACUUGUCUCAACAUUCAACUCUAUCAAAGUUAGGAUUGUGUAAGUUACCUGGGAGUCUACAAUUGAAUAUGUCAACACCGUCAUUAGAUAAUGUUACGCUAUCGGACAUAAAUCUAGAUGAAAGUUCAUUGUUACUGUCAAGUGACAUGUUGAAUAUUGAACGUGUUGAGUUGAGGGAGAUAGAAAUGCCUGCAGGAAGUUUACAGAACUUUAUUACCAUGCUAGAAAAUCUGUCGCAGUCAGUUACAGUAGAGAUGAUCGCCAUAGAACCGGAAACUGAAUAUGAACGUGUUAGAGAAAAUAUUCGGAGAUUACAUACUUUUCAUGUGAUACGAGACGACUGGUGGUUUGAGUUCAAAACAAUAAAACCAAGCAAAGAAUAGACAAGAAAAAACAUUGUGAAAUAAACUGAAGAAAUAACCUCAAUAAUUUAAAAUAAUUUAAACAAUUUAAAUAUGGACACAUAAAACAAAAUUGCGACACUGCAAUCUUAAAUUAGGACAUGCAUGUACUUCGUUUUCAAUUAUGAUUAAUUAAUUGACAAUUGCUUAUAAAUAAAAACAUUGAAUUAAUAGAAAUAAUUCAAGGAAUGUUUUACGGAAUUUAAUGGAUAAAAAAGUUGGAUUAGGAUACAGUAUGGAAAUAUUUCACAGUGGCCUUGGAUCAAAAGCAUUGUGAUGCAGAAUCUCUUGUGACAUUAUAAUUAUUAGGAUUUUUGUAGUUUAUAGAUUAUUUUGAGCAACAAAAAUACCAUGUUCCUUUAUUGACAAGCUUGAGUAAAUCUACAGUGACAGUGAUGAUUAUGCUUCUACUAGAGUCCAAUAUGAAGACUUAACAUCUGUUCCUAGCUUUACAGAAACAUAUCCAAAAGAAAAUUGUUUAAAAACAGUGCGUCUUCAAUAGCUUCUAAAAUCUUCUAGUUCCUGAAUGAAACGAAAACAGACCAGCAAUUUGUAACUUACUUUUGCAUCGUAAAUUGUACCUUAAAUCUGUUUUCUUCAAGAGGAAUUUACAUCUAAAAAUGAAAUUCUUACCAAGACCGCUGUGAAAUAUUUUAGAGUUCCUUCAGAAAAUUUUUUGUGAGUUACAUAAUUAUAUUUCAUUAGAAAACAGAAAAUGAAACUUGUAAAAAACGCUUAAAAAUAAAGUGGAUGGUUUAGAAUGGGCACAUUUUCCAUAUUAAAGUAUUGAUAAAAAAAAGAGAUAUUGCCUUUUGGUUACUCUUAUGAGAUAUUAAUGAAAACAAAAAUGUUGAUAGAUUUCUAAAGAGAUUUUAAGUAUGAACACAAUAUAUGAUGAAUUAUAAUAUUUUGUUGCAGAAACCCUUUAUUAUAUGCUAUAUGUUGAUAUGUCAUUCGGUUUUGAACUAUGGUGAAUUAGGGUCAUAGCGGACUUCUUGUUACUUUAAGAGAUGCAUGUUGUUGUUUUUUUUUGUGUGUAUAUAGUUUUCUUAGUAUGAUUUUGUAUAUUUAACAAAGAUUAAUAUAUUUGUAUUAUGUAUACGUAUUCAAUAUAACACCCGUUCUUUAAAACCACAAUCAUAUCAGUAAUUAAACUCUCAUACAACAAAGUUGUUGUUAAUAUGGUAAUUAUUCAAGAAUCAUUUUAGUUUUCUCUCAUGCCUAUUCAUAUUUAGUUUUGUCCCCCGAGGUUAAUUUUUUAAGUGUUGAAGUUAAGAACUUGAAAAGUCAUAGAUAGAUAAAUCUCAUUAAGAAAACUGCAAUGAACUAUAAGAUACCAAACCCUUUUAUAAAACAUUUUACAUUUAAAGUCCUUUAAAGUUUGCAAUGCUUUAUUUUGGUUUCGAACCAUUGAGGUAAAUUACUGUUUGUUUUUUUUAUAAUUGCUGUGCACAUUUUUAGUGUUAUUGCCCAUUCAGCAUUGUAAAUUUCCAUAUUUUAGUAAUUGCCGGGACACAACUAGUACACAUUUAAAUGUAUCUACAUUGUAGAAAUAUCUUAUUGAGGUAUAUGCCGUGUGUUAAUUUUGUAGUUAUUCAACGUUGUAUCAGUUUAAACUAAAUUUCUGUGUAGAGCAUAGUUACCUUUAAAGGCACAUUAUGCCUCAGAAAUCUGUUUUUAUUAAAUUCUUUAGAAAU